GCCUUCUGUAAUGACGUGUUGAAGGAGCCAGGAGGAAAAACAAUAGUAUCAGUGUGAAGAACGCAGCGUGGUGACGGGAGGCUGUUCUGGUCUGACCAAUGACAUCAGAGUCCUUCAACUGUGACACGUGAAGAACACAGGUUGGCCCGCGUUCUAGAACAGGGGCUGUCCAAUAAUAGCAAGGCAGAGAAGGGGAAUGUACAUGUCUGAAGGAUUAAAAACACAUCACUGACAAAAUGUUGAUUCCUUUACUUUGCAUUCAGAAAUGUAUUUUUAAACCCUUUUUAUAAAAUAUUAAAAACACAGACACAAAUAGACAACCAUUUACAAGGCUGUGAUGGGUCUUGAAUCUCACUCAGUAAAUGGACUCACUUGACAUGGAAGUUCUGGAUAUUGACAUUCCUGUAGGGGGCAGUCUUUCUCUGGCACCAUAGAAGAAGACCCUCCUUAGCAGAGGUUUCUACAGGAGAGAACAUUGUGUUGUUUAUUGUGUGACAACCGUAGAGUCCUGGCUCUAUCAAACACUCUGAAGAUCCAUGUUAUGUGCUGUAAGCUGUUAUUCUACGACAGCCACAUUCAUUACGGGACGGUUUCCCAGACACAGACUAGUCCAGGACUAAGAUGCACUUUUAAUGGAGAAUCUCACAUUGAUGCUUUUUGGUCCAAGACUAGUCUGAAAUCUGGGUGCAGGAAACUGGCCUGAUGUGUUCUAAUGUCUAAUUCAUGAAACUGGCCUGAUGUGUUCUAAUGUCUAAUUCAUGAAACUGGCCUGAUGUGUUCUAAUGUCUAAUUCAUGAAACUGGCCUGAUGUGUUCUAAUGUCUAAUUCAUGAAACUGGCCUGAUGUGUUCUAAUGUCUAAUUCAUGAAACUGGCCUGAUGUGUUCUAAUGUCUAAUUCAUGAAACUGGCCUGAUGUGUUCUAAUGUCUAAUUCAGGAAACUGGCCUGAUGUGUUCUAAUGUCUAAUUCAUGAAACUGGCCUGAUGUGUUCUAAUGUCUAAUUCAUGAAACUGGCCUGAUGUGUUCUAAUGUCUAAUUCAUGAAACUGGCCUGAUGUGUUCUAAUGUCUAAUUCAUGAAACUGGCCUGAUGUGUUCUAAUGUCUAAUUCAUGAAACUGGCCUGAUGUGUUCUAAUGUCUAAUUCAUGAAACUGGCCUGAUGUGUUCUAAUGUCUAAUUCAUGAAACUGGCCUGAUGUGUUCUAAUGUCUAAUUCAUGAAACUGGCCUGAUGUGUUCUAAUGUCUAAUUCAGGAAACUGGCCUGAUGUGUUCUAAUGUCUAAUUCAUGAAACUGGCCUGAUGUGUUCUAAUGUCUAAUUCAUGAAACUGGCCUGAUGUGUUCUAAUGUCUAAUUGAUGAAAAUGGCCUGAUGUGUUCUAAUGUCUAAUUCAUGAAAAUGGCCUGAUGUGUUCUAAUGUCUAAUUCAUGAAACUGGCCUGAUGUGUUCUAAUGUCUAAUUCAUGAAACUGGCCUGAUGUGUUCUAAUGUCUAAUUCAUGAAACUGGCCUGAUGUGUUCUAAUGUCUAAUUCAUGAAACUGGCCUGAUGUGUUCUAAUGUCUAAUUCAUGAAAAUGGCCUGAUGUGUUCUAAUAUCUAAUUAAUGAAACUGGCCUGAUGUGUUCUAAUGUCUAAUUCAGGAAACUGGCCUGAUGUGUUCUAAUGUCUAAUUCAGGAAACUGGCCUGAUGUGUUCUAAUAUCUAAUUCAUGAAACUGGCCUGAUGUGUUCUAAUGUCUAAUUAAUGAAACUGGCCUGAUGUGUUCUAAUGUCUAAUUCAGGAAACUGGCCUGAUGUGUUCUAAUAUCUAAUUCAUGAAACUGG